AUUGAACGCUGGCGGCAGGCCUAACACAUGCAAGUCGAGCGGAUGAAGGGAGCUUGCUCCUGGAUUCAGCGGCGGACGGGUGAGUAAUGCCUAGGAAUCUGCCUGGUAGUGGGGGAUAACGUCCGGAAACGGGCGCUAAUACCGCAUACGUCCUGAGGGAGAAAGUGGGGGAUCUUCGGACCUCACGCUAUCAGAUGAGCCUAGGUCGGAUUAGCUAGUUGGUGGGGAAGGCCUACCAAGGCGACGAUCCGUAACUGGUCUGAGAGGAUGAUCAGUCACACUGGAACUGAGACACGGUCCAGACUCCUACGGGAGGCAGCAGUGGGGAAUAUUGGACAAUGGGCGAAAGCCUGAUCCAGCCAUGCCGCGUGUGUGAAGAAGGUCUUCGGAUUGUAAAGCACUUUAAGUUGGGAGGAAGGGCAGUAAGUUAAUACCUUGCUGUUUUGACGUUACCAACAGAAUAAGCACCGGCUAACUUCGUG
rnacentral:rRNA from 1 species